CAGUAGCCGCGGGAAUACGUAUGUCACAAGCGUUAUCCGGAUUUAUUGGGCGUAAAGCGCGUCUAGGUGGUUAUGUAAGUCUGAUGUGAAAAUGCAGGGCUCAACUCUGUAUUGCGUUGGAAACUGUGUAACUAGAGUACUGGAGAGGUAAGCGGAACUACAAGUGUAGAGGUGAAAUUCGUAGAUAUUUGUAGGAAUGCCGAUGGGGAAGCCAGCUUACUGGACAGAUACUGACGCUAAAGCGCGAAAGCGCGGGUAGCAAACGGGAUUAGAUACCCCGGUAGUCCCUGUCUCUUAUACA
rnacentral:rRNA from 1 species